CCAGCCUUCAAGUUUGUCUUCCUCUGUGAAGAACGGAUGUUUGUCCAUACAUUCAAACACGUAAUGGUCCAUAUCUGUCAGUGUGAAAACAAAAAAAAUACAUGAGAAAAUAUUGACUAAACUUGUUGCCGCUGUUACUGCAGUAUCCGAUGAAAAAAUACACAAAAAUCUGUAUGAGAUCGACGAAUCGCGUCACACGACAAGUGAUCUGCUAAGGAAUACCAUUCGGAAACCGCAGUCAUAGCAGUUGUGAUCACCUGUGCAACUCGAGAUAAAAAUUAAAAG